rnacentral:misc_RNA from 1 species
AGCAGCCGCGGUAAUUCCAGCUCCAAUAGCGUAUAUUAAAGUUGUUGCAGUUAAAAAGCUCGUAGUUGAAUUUCGGGGUUAGUAGGUUGGUCAUGCCUCUGGUAUGUACUGGUCUCACUGAUUCCUCCUUCCUGAUGAGCCGUAAUGCCAUUAAUUUGGUGUUGCGGGGAAUUUGGACUGUUACUUUGAAAAAUUAGAGUGUUUAAAGCAAGCUAACGCUUGAAUACAUUAGCAUGGAAUAAUGAAAUAGGACGUUCGAUCCUAUUUUGUUGGUUUCUAGGAUUGACGUAAUGAUUAAUAGGGAUAGUUGGGGGCAUUAGUAUUCAAUUGUCAGAGGUGAAAUUCUUGGAUUUAUUGAAGACUAACUACUGCGAAAGUAUUUGCCAAGGAUGUUUUCAUUAAUCAAGAACGAAAGUUAGGGGAUCGAAGACGAUCAGAUACCGUCGUAGUCUUAACCAUAAACUAUGCCGACUAGGGAUCGGAUGAUGUUAAUUUUUAAUGUACUCAUUCGGCGCCUUAA